UUAGAUCCACAUUGGCGACAGGAGCAUUCAACGCAAGGUGUUUCCGGAUCGUCUGAACAUUGUGUACAUUCAACAGCAGUGGGUCCUAGAAUAAAAUGAUAAAAAAACCAAACAAAAAUAAAUAAAAACAGAAAAGAGGAAAACAAUGAAAAUCCUUGUCAAGAGUUCAAGGUUGUAUCGAUAUCGUUUGAUUAAUCCUUUCUGUAAUCAUAUCGGUAUCUUUUUACUCAUUUAUCUCAACUCAUAACAAAACUGUUUUUCUUUAAAUCCUUUUCACACCAAAAGAUAUUCAAUCAAUUUUUUCUCAAGAGUUUAAUUUUUCUUAAAUAAACAUUUGCUGAGUUUGAAAAAAGGCAUUGAAUACAAGUUAAUGGUUUCUCUCCGUCUAAGUCAUUGAGUCUCUGGGUGAGUUCAAAUCGGAAGUAAUAAUUGUACCCAAAGGAGUGAAAAAACGACAAGAGGUGAAUGCUAAAAAAAAUCUCACCAAAAGUUAUUGACUGAUUAUUGUUCAAGUGAUAAGGAGAACCGAAGAGGAAGUCGAAGGUAAAAUAUUCAAUGAGGAUGAUGACGAUGGUUAUAAUAGAGAUGGGAUAAAAGGAUUUCGAGUAAAAAAGUAAGCUGAUAUAUAGUGCCACACGACCUUAGAUGUAAAAGAAAGCCUAAAGGGUUAGAAAGACCCCCACAUACAAAAUGAAAGGAUCAGAUGUACAAAAGUAGAUUCACUUUUUUUUGUAUCCAUUGGCAAUUAAUUUGGCUUGUUUGUUAUUCCGUUCAAUAACUGGUUGAUUAUCUUGAGCAGUAUAGAAAAGCAAGUUUCCUGUUAUAUUAUGUUUAUCCAAUGUCACUUUAUCACCAAUGAAUAAUGUUCCUUGAACAAUUUUA